GGGCCCGCACAAGCGGUGGAGUAUGUGGUUUAAUUCGAUGCAACGCGAAGAACCUUACCAGGGUUUGACAUCCUGCGAAUCUCUUGGAAACAGGAGAGUGCCUUCGGGAACGCAGUGACAGGUGGUGCAUGGCUGUCGUCAGCUCGUGUCGUGAGAUGUUGGGUUAAGUCCCGCAACGAGCGCAACCCACGUCUUUAGUUGCCAGCAUUCAGUUGGGCACUCUAGAGAGACUGCCGGUGAUAAACCGGAGAAGGUGUGGAUGACGUCAAAUCAUCACGGCCCUUACGUCUGGGCUACACACGUGCUACAUGGCCGGUACAGAGAGCAGCCACCACGCGAGUGGGAGCGAAUCUUCAAAACCGGUCAUC
rnacentral:rRNA from 1 species